UUGGAGGAUUCCGUUAUCUUUAAUUUUAUUAUUUACGGAUUUUUAUAUCCCUUAUUUAUUUGGGCUUCUCCUUUUUUGUCUGUAUUUUUAUCUCAUUAUCUAUAUAUUUAUUUUAUAGUUUGAACAUUGUUCUUUGACAUUUUGGACACAAAACAAUAACGACAUUAUUUGUCCGUUUUUCGUUUUCGUUAUUCAUUAUUUCUAUUUCAUUUUUUGUUUUAGUUAUUUUGUUUUUUCGUUUACGAUUUGAUUAUUUUGCGGUUCUUUAUUUUUUUCGGUUUUUUUUUGCCGUUUUAAAUUUAUGUACUGUAUUAUUUUUAGGACAAUAUAUUUUAUAUGCUAUAAUUAUGCUAUAAUAG
rnacentral:misc_RNA from 1 species